GGGCAGCAGUGGGGAAUAUUGCACAAUGGGCGAAAGCCUGAUGCAGCGACGCCGCUUGAGGGAUGACGGCCUUCGGGUUGUAAACCUCUUUCAGCAGGGAAGAAGCGAAAGUGACGGUACCUGCAGAAGAAGCACCGGCUAACUACGUGCCAGCAGCCGCGGUAAUACGUAGGGUGCGAGCGUUGUCCGGAAUUAUUGGGCGUAAAGAGCUUGUAGGCGGUUUGUCGCGUCUGCUGUGAAAAUCCGGGGCUCAACCCCGGACUUGCAGUGGGUACGGGCAGACUAGAGUGUGGUAGGGGAGACUGGAAUUCCUGGUGUAGCGGUGAAAUGCGCAGAUAUCAGGAGGAACACCGAUGGCGAAGGCAGGUCUCUGGGCCACUACUGACGCUGAGAAGCGAAAGCAUGGGGAGCGAACAGGAUUAGAUACCCUGGUAGUCCAUGCCGUAAACGUUGGGCGCUAGGUGUGGGACUCAUUCCACGAGUUCCGUGCCGCAGCUAACGCAUUNAGCGCCCCGCCUGGGGAGUACGGCCGCAAGGCUAAAACUCAAAGGAAUUGACGGGGGCCCGCACNAGCGGCGGAGCNUGCGGAUUAAUUCGAUGCAACGCGAAGAACCUUACCAAGGCUUGACAUAUACCGGAAACAUCCAGAGAUGGGUGCCCCUUUUGGUCGGUAUACAGGUGGUGCAUGGUUGUCGUCAGCUCGUGUCGUGAGAUGUUGGGUUAAGUCCCGCAACGAGCGCAACCCUCGUUCUAUGUUGCCAGCACGUCAUGGUGGGGACUCAUAGGAGACUGCCGGGGUCAACUCGGAGGAAGGUGGGGAUGACGUCAAAUCAUCAUGCCCCUUAUGUCUUGGGCUUCACGCNUGCUACAAUGGCCGGUACAAAGGGCUGCGAUACCGCAAGGUGGAGCGAAUCCCAAAAAACCGGUCUCAGUUCGGAUUGGGGUCUGCAACUCGACCCCAUGAAGUCGGAGUCGCUAGUAAUCGCAGAUCAGCAACGCUGCGGUGAAUACGUUCCCGGGCCUUGUACACACCGCCCGUCAAGUCACGAAAGUCGGUAACACCCGAAGCCGGUGGCCCAACCC
rnacentral:rRNA from 1 species